rnacentral:sRNA from 1 species
ACUGGGUGAGGGGGCUCACACCCGUAGUCCAAUCAGCUUGGGAGGCUGAGGCAGGAGGAUCGCAAAUUGGAGGCCAGCCUUAGAAACUUAGCAAGGCCUUAAGCAACUUAGUGAGAUCCUGUCUCGA